AGCUGCUUCAUGUUUGCUAAUGAAAACCCAUCUGAUUGAACUGGACCCCUUGUUAUUGAACUGGACCCCUUGCUUGGUGUCCGCUGAAACAUUAUUGUAGUAUGAGGCAUUGAUGAGCAUGACCAAUGAUGUCUGUGUUCAAUAAUACAUUUGGUCUGUAUUUAUUGAUUAUUUUGGAAUUAGGGUGUAAGGCUUAUCGUUUUUUAAAAAUCAUUCAGCAUACAUGUAACCGCAAUAGACAUCAUCUUGAGCACUCUUUGAUAAGAAAACAAUGUUUAAUGUCAGGUUCACAUGCUUACCCUAACACUUUUCCUACAGUUAUUCAAAUACACCAUGUAACAUGAACUAGUGCCAGUACCGUGCAGUCACAUAUUCUAUAUGACAUGAUAAUUACCUCCAUGAUAAUGAGUAAUGAUGUAAUUGAUGCUUCAACCAUAAUAGCUAAUCAUUUUCACUGUGAACAUUCAACGCCAUAUGUAUUUGGACAGUGAAGUCAAAAUGUUAAAUUUAGCUGUAUACUCCAGCAUUUUGUAUGGCUUACGGCCAUUCAAAAUGACAAUCGGAAUUGUAUAUUACUGACUGUGGGUUAUACUAAAGUAGUGGAAUAUUACCAUAUACUGUAAAGCAAGACAAGAAUACAUUGUCAUUUCAGGUGAUAUACAUGAAAAAGACAGUAGUCACCUUGGUGACAGAUAUCUUAGUGUUAUGUACAGUUUUACCAAGUAUAACUUGUCAUUUUAAUUUUCAAUACAUCUUUGGAACAGGAAGGAUAUUGUUGUUUAUAAAUGUAGCAGACUCAUUCUAUAUCAUGUUAGUAGUGUCAGGAAUCAAGGUAAGACCCAGAUGCAGACUGUUGAAGUAACACUGUUUAUUGUAGAAAACAGGGGCAGGCAAAGACAGGUUAAGGCAGGCAGGGGUCGAUAAUCCAGAGUAUGUCAAAGUUACAGGACAGGCAGAGAAGUCAGGUGGGCAGGUACAGGGUCAGGAUAGGCAACCAGGAGUUGACAGGAAAACCGCUGGUAAGCUUGACAAACAAGAUGAACCGGCAACAAACAGAACACAGGUAUAAAUACACAGGGGAUAAUUGGGAAGAUGGGCGACAUCUGGAGGGGAGUGGAGACAAUCACAAGGACAGGUGAAACAGAUCAGGACGUGAAAAGUCGUUUGGAGUCAGUAUCUAAAAUUUCUGUGUAUCUAAAAUCCCUAUUUCAUUUAUGCUCAUUCACAGUGUGGUUUGCUUUUAGACCAGUGUGAUAUUAUUUCACUUCAGCUGCAGUUAAUUUCCCAUAAUAAAUUUAGACGUUUAAAACCUAACUGGGUUGUUCCACGAAAUGUGUGUCUUUUACGUCCCUUUGAUAUUUUAAGUAGAAAUGGUGUGCAAAUAAUGGAUUUUAAAAGCCUGUUAUUUAAAAUGAAGUGCCCUUUAACCUAUUUAAUCGGUGACCGUAAAAAAAACAUUUUCAGUUAAGGCUCUAAAAAUGUUACUGAAUGAUCUAUCAGUGCAUUUCCAGCAAAUAUUGAAAUAAUAAAGGGUCUCGAUGAAUGACGUGCAGUGUCACAUGUUUAGUGUAAAUUGUCACAUGACCAGAGCUGUUUACUUCCUGGUUGCGCCAUGAGAAGAGAAUGGCUGCAUCAAAGUUCCCAAACAAAAGUUUCACUUUGAGUCAAGUUCUGGAUAUGUUGGAUCGAGGUGACAGCCCAGACAAGGUGUGCAACAUUGCAGUUGUCCCUCAAAAUGAGAAAGAUACUGUCCUGAGUGAUUGUGAUAGCGAUGGGUCAGAUAUGAACUAUGGACAGGACAUUUGCCGACCAGGCUGUUGAAUGCAAAUGCGGAGCCUAUGCAAACAGAUCAUGACAGGAACAACGUUAUCAGUGAUGAUGACCUACUACCCCCCCCAUCCACAAUCUUCCCCACCCCCCUCCAUGGUAAUGAAGAGCCAAGGGCCUCUACCCGCCAGAGGGUCCAGUCAGAAGAGCCAAGGGCUUCUACAAACCAUAAAGUUCAGCCUGAAGAGCCAAGAGAAAAGCUGCAGGUGGUCAAAAAGAAAGAUUGAGCGUUCUAACGAUCGAAGAGACCUGCCACUGAUGUGAUUCCAAAACACAUAGUAUACAGGCCAAAUAUGCAAAAAUUUGGCACGAAACCACUGAGCCACGGAAGGAGAUCUUUACUGGCUGCUACUGUUGAAGAUCAGGCAAGAUAUGACAAAGCUUCUCACUGGCCAAUCAACACGAUGCACUGGUUCCAGAGAAGUCAUCACUGUGACAAACGUACUACCUGUGCAUGUGAGAAAUGCAAAGUGCCACUGCACAUUGAGUGCUUCAAGAUAUACCAUGGACAGUAGAAAAGGAGAUAAGACCGAAUAGAAAAGUCGAUAAAGGGUGAGGAGAAGCAGUACAACGGACUCUAGGAAGAAAAGCACUCUGUCUCGUAUAAGCACUCAUUGGCCAGUGGCGCUUUUUAAAUAUAUAUAUAUAUAUAUAUAUAUAUAUAUAUAUAAAAUUGUAUUUUGUUCAGUGUAGGCCUCUACUUGAAUGCAUAUUAUACAGGCUACCUCUAUCCUAUAUGUUACCUUUAUGUUCAGAGGGAAUGAAUCACAUGACUGCUAUACAGUUGUUAGUGAAUGUUGCACUAAAAUGUCACAAUGACAAUGUUACAAUGAAUAUUGCACUAAAGUACAAGUUCAACUGUUACAAUAAAGUUACAAUAUUAAUGUUUCAGUACAUGUGGCACUAAAGUAACAAUGUUGAAAUA